rnacentral:lncRNA from 1 species
CCAGUGUCAAGCGCUUCUCAACGUUCAGUGCCUCGAAAGAACUUCCGUACGACCUCGAGGAUGCCAUGGUGUUCUGGAUCAACAAGGUAAAUCUUAAAAUGAGAGAGAUAACAGAGAAAGAAGUUAAAUUAAAACAACAGUUAUUGGAAAGUCCAGCUCAUCAAAAGUCUCCCUCCAAGUGGUAUUGGAAGUUAGUGCCUGUAAGUGAACCCCAAGCCGCCAGCUGCCAUCUACAGAGCCAUCCUGUCGCGAUCACUUGCUUCCAUUAAAAACUGCUCGCACCC